rnacentral:rRNA from 1 species
GAGUUUGAUCAUGGCUCAGAUUGAACGCUGGCGGCAUGCUUUACACAUGCAAGUCGAACGGCAGCACGGGGUUUACCCUGGUGGCGAGUGGCGAACGGGUGAGGAAUACAUCGGAACGUGUCUAUAAGUGGGGGAUAACGCAUCGAAAGGUGUGCUAAUACCGCAUAAUCUCUCAGGAGAAAAGCAGGGGAUCGCAAGACCUUGCGCUUUAGGAGCGGCCGAUGCCUGAUUAGCUUGUUGGUAAGGUAAAAGCUUACCAAGGCUUCGAUCAGUAGCUGGUCUGAGAGGACGACCAGCCACACUGGGACUGAGACACGGCCCAGACUCCUACGGGAGGCAGCAGUGGGAAUUUUGGACAAUGGGGGAAACCCUGAUCCAGCCAUGCCGCGUGAGUGAAGAAGGCCUUCGGGUUGUAAAGCUCUUCUAGCCGGAACGAACGG